CGGGAAAAACGAUCGAGCGUUGACCGGACCGCAGCUACAAAAAGGUUGGGGACCACUGAUAUAAAUAACACAUUUCUUUGACUAAAAGGCAUAAAACUGAUCUGAAGCCGAUCUUAAGAUUGUGCGGUCCUCGGUGUAAAAGUUGAGUCCGGACACCUGGACUGCAGCUGUGGAAAGUCCAAGAAAAUAAAUUCAAGACUUUAUUUUUCCUUCCCGCUCCUGUCCCGACCUGCCUGGUGCAUUGCUCAACUGCUUCACACAAACCAUCCCCCCCCCCCCGCUGCCCGGGUCUAAAAAGGGUGUCCCACCCCAGGGCGUCGCUCUUUAAGCGUCCACGGGGGCGGCACAUGAGGCAGACUCCGCCCCACUUCUCGUCUCAGGGCACGCCCAUCGCCACUCCCUUCCAGCUUCACGCUGACUUCCUGCCAGAUUUCUUAUAAAUUCAAACACAUUGUCUUUUUGCUCACACGAUGGCUCCUCCCAAUUUGUCUCCCGGCAACUUUUGCCUCAUAUUAAUAAAAAAAAUAAAUAAAAAGGCUUUCCUACUUGACGUGCUAAAAGUGAGAUCCAAGUUGGAGAAGCAAAGCAAAAUGGGCUUCAAACAUCCUCCAGAUGAGUGUGAUUGCGGGACCAUCUGGAAUCGCUUAAAGUGACUUCAGCUUUUGGAAGAAAAAAAAAAAAAAAAGCUCCAGAAGGAAAAAAUGAAAAUAGUCCCAAACCAGCCUUUCGCUCUCCCU